rnacentral:lncRNA from 1 species
GUUGCAAUUUCAUCAUUCUUUCAAUCAAUCACAUCGUUAGUCCAUGUAAUUGCAUCCUUACUCUAGCAAUUACUUUAUUCUUCCUUCCAUACCAUCUCCAUUUUUCAUUUUCUACUUUCUCAUUCUUGCAAUCCUCAUGCAUACUUUUCCUUUCAAUUUAGUAUGCUAAAGGUGAAAUUGAAUUUAUUGACUCCAAAAUAUCAUCAUCAUUAUUCUUUUAAGCCUAUAACAACAAUGAAAAUUUG